GAGUUUGAUCAUGGCUCAGACUGAACGCUGGCGGCAGGCCUAACACAUGCAAGUCGAGCGCGAAAGUCCUUCGGGGCGAGUAGAGCGGCGGACGGGUGAGUAAUGCUUGGGAAUCUACCUAGUAGUGGGGGAUAACCUGUGGAAACGCAGGCUAAUACCGCAUACGUCCUACGGGAGAAAGCAGGGGAUCUUCGGACCUUGCGCUAUUGGAUGAGCCCAAGUCGGAUUAGCUAGUUGGUGGGGUAAUGGCUCACCAAGGCGACGAUCCGUAGCUGGUCUGAGAGGAUGAUCAGCCACACUGGGACUGAGACACGGCCCAGACUCCUACGGGAGGCAGCAGUGGGGAAUAUUGGACAAUGGGCGAAAGCCUGAUCCAGCCAUGCCGCGUGUGUGAAGAAGGCUCUAGGGUUGUAAAGCACUUUCAGUAGGGAGGAACGGUUGUUGACUAAUACUUAACAAUUUUGACGUUACCUACAGAAGAAGCACCGGCAAACUCCGUGCCAGCAGCCGCGGUAAUACGGAGGGUGCGAGCGUUAAUCGGAAUUACUGGGCGUAAAGCGCGCGUAGGUGGUUUGUUAAGUUGGAUGUGAAAGCCCUGGGCUCAACCUAGGAACUGCAUCCAAAACUAACUCACUAGAGUACGAUAGAGGGAGGUAGAAUUCAUAGUGUAGCGGUGGAAUGCGUAGAUAUUAUGAAGAAUACCAGUGGCGAAGGCGGCCUCCUGGAUCUGUACUGACACUGAGGUGCGAAAGCGUGGGUAGCGAACAGGAUUAGAUACCCUGGUAGUCCACGCCGUAAACGAUGACAACUAGCUGUUGGGAGACUAUGUCUUUCAGUGGCGCAGCUAACGCUUUAAGUUGUCCGCCUGGGGAGUACGGCCGCAAGGCUAAAACUCAAAUGAAUUGACGGGGACCCGCACAAGCAGUGGAUCAUGUGGUUUAAUUCGAUGCAACGCGAAAAACCUUACCUACUCUUGACAUACUUGGAAGCUCUUGUAAUGAGAGUGUGCUUUUAAGAACCAAGAUACAGGUGCUGCAUGGCUGUCGUCAGCUCGUGUCGUGAGAUGUUCCGUUAAGUCGGAUAACGAGCGCAACCCUUACCCUUAUUUGCCAGCGAUUCGGUCGGGAACUAUAAGGGGACUGCCGGUGAUAAACCGGAGGAAGGUGAGGACGACGUCAAGUCAUCAUGGCCCUUACGAGUAGGGCUACACACGUGAUACAAUGGGAGAGACAGACGGACGCUAAGCCGCGAGGUGGUGCUAAUCCUAGAAACUCUCUCGUAGUCCGGAUUGGAGUCUGCAACUCGACUCCAUGAAGUUGGAAUUGCUAGUAAUCGCGGAUCAGCAUGCCGCGGUGAAUACGUUCUCGGGUCUUGUACACACCGCCCGUCACACCAUGGAAGUGGAUUGCACCAGAAGUAGAUAGUCUAACCUUAGGGAGGGCGUUUACCACGGUGUGCUUCAUGACUGGGGUGAAGUCGUAACGAGGUAACC
rnacentral:rRNA from 1 species